rnacentral:rRNA from 1 species
AUUGAACGCUGGCGGCAGGCCUAACACAUGCAAGUCGAGCGGCAGCGGAAAGUAGCUUGCUACUUUGCCGGCGAGCGGCGGACGGGUGAGUAAUGUCUGGGAAACUGCCUGAUGGAGGGGGAGAACUACUGGAAACGGUAGCUAAUACCGCAUAACGUCGCAAAAACAAAGAGGGGGACCUUCGGGCCUCUUGCCAGCAGAUGUGCCCGGAUGGGAUUAGCUAGUAGGUGGGGUAACGGCUCACCUAGGCGACGAUCCCUAGCUGGUCUGAGGGGAUGACCAGCCACACUGGAACUGAGACACGGUCCAGACUCCUACGGGAGGCAGCAGUGGGGAAUAUUGCACAAUGGGCGCAAGCCUGAUGCAGCCAUGCCGCGUGUAUGAAGAAGGCCUUCGGGUUGUAAAGUACUUUCAGCGGGGAGGAGGGUGUUGAGGUUAAUAACCUCAGCAAUUGACGUUACCCGCAGAAGAAGCACCGGCUAACUCCGUGCCAGCCGCCGCCGUAAAAC